UUUGAUCCUGGCUCAGGAUGAACGCUAGCGGCAGGCCUAACACAUGCAAGUCGAGGGAGAAGCCUUUCGGGGCAGAAACCGGCGCACGGGUGCGUAACGCGUAUGCAACCUACCUUUCACAGGGGGAUAGCCCGAAGAAAUUUGGAUUAAUACCCCAUAAUAUUGUUGGAUGGCAUCAUUUGGCAAUUAAAACUGAGGUGGUGAAAGAUGGGCAUGCGUCCUAUUAGCUAGUUGGAGUGGUAACGGCACCCCAAGGCUACGAUAGGUAGGGGUCCUGAGAGGGAGAUUCCCCCACACUGGUACUGAGACAGGGACCAGACUCCUACGGGAGGCAGCAGUGAGGAAUAUUGGUCAAUGGUCGGAAGACUGAACCAGCCAUGCCGCGUGCAGGAAGAAUGCCUUAUGGGUUGUAAACUGCUUUUAUAUGGGAAGAAUAAGGUGUACGUGUACAUUGAUGACGGUACCAUAUGAAUAAGCAUCGGCUAACUCCGUGCCAGCAGCCGCGGUAAUACGGAGGAUGCGAGCGUUAUUCGGAAUCAUUGGGUUUAAAGGGUCUGUAGGCGGGCUAUUAAGUCAGGGGUGAAAGGUUUCAGCUUAACUGAGAAAUUGCCUUUGAUACUGGUAGUCUUGAAUAUCUGUGAAGUUCUUGGAAUGUGUAGUGUAGCGGUGAAAUGCUUAGAUAUUACACAGAACACCGAUUGCGGAGGCAGGGGACUAACAGACGAUUGACGCUGAGAGACGAAAGCGUGGGGAGCGAACAGGAUUAGAUACCCUGGUAGUCCACGCUGUAAACGAUGGAUACUAGCUGUUUGGAGAAAUUUGAGUGGCUAAGCGAAAGUGAUAAGUAUCCCACCUGGGGAGUACGCACGCAAGUGUGAAAACUCAAAAGGAAUUGACGGGGGCCCGCACAAGCGGUGGAGCAUGUGGUUUAAAUUCGAUGAUACGCGAGGAAACCUUACCAAGGUUUAAAAUGGAGACUGACAGGGGCAGAGAUGCCUUUUUCUUCGGACAGUUUUCAAGGUGCUGCAUGGUUGUCGUCAGCUCGUGCCGUGAGGUGUCAGGUUAAGUCCUAUAACGAGCGCAACCCCUAUUGUUAGUUACCAGCACGUAAUGGUGGGGACUCUAGCAAGACUGCCGGUGUAAACCGUGAGGAAGGUGGGGAUGACGUCAAAAUCAUCACGGCCCUUACAUCUUGGGCUACAACAACGUGCUACAAUGGUCGUUACAGAGAGCAAGCCAACUGCGCGAGCAGGAGCGAAAUCUAUAAAGAACGGUCAACAGUUCGGAUCGGGUUCUGCGACUGGACUCCGUGAGGCGGGAUUCGCUAUUAUUGGGUGUCCGCCCGGUUCCGGGUGAUUACGUUCCCCGG
rnacentral:rRNA from 1 species